CCCUUAGAUGUUCUGGGCCGUACGCGUGCUACACUGAGUGGAUCAGCGGGUCAGGUUGCGCGAAAGUGUUUCCUAAUCUUUAAAUCCGCUCGUGAUGGGGAUUGACGGUUGCAAUUUUCCGUCAUGAACGAGGAAUACCUUGUAAGCGCGGGUCAUCAUCCCGCGCUGAAUACGUCCCUGCCCUUUGUACACACCGCCCGUCGCUCCUACCGAUUGAGUGGUCCGGUGAGGCUUUGGGAUCUGAGCGGAAAGAGCGUUUCGCUGUUUCUGCCCGGAAAACUCAGUCGAACCUUAUCAUUUAGAGGAAGGAGAAGUCGUAACA
rnacentral:rRNA from 1 species